UCGAGUACUUUCGGUUGACCCCGAAAACUCCCCAUCCUUGUGUAUUUUCGCUGAAAAGCAGCUUCGGUGAGCCGUCUAGUCCUUAGCAAUAAGGACUGGACGUCGGCCCUGUGCGGAUCAGAGUUCACCGAAGAUCUCCAAUAUCUUAUUAACUUGAAGUCUGACAUUUUGAACUAAAAUCAAAUCA
rnacentral:misc_RNA from 1 species